UGCAGUCGAGCGACGCACACUCAGUCCGUAAGGGCAGGGUGUGACGGAGCGGCGAACGGGUGAGUAACACGUGAGCAACCUGCCCCACAGAUCAGGAUAGCCCAGGGAAACCUGGAUUAAUACCGGAUAUUCUCUUUGGACCGCAUGGUCCGUUGAGGAAAUGCCUUUGUGCUGUGGGAUGGGCUCGCGAUUUAUCAGUUAGUUGGUGGGGUAACGGCCUACCAAGACAAUGACGAGCAGCUGGUCUGAGAGGACGAUCAGCCACACUGGAACUGAGACACGGUCCAGACUCCUACGGGAGGCAGCAGCAGGGAAUCUUGCGCAAUGGACGAAAGUCUGACGCAGCGACACCGCGUGGGGGAUGAAGGCCUUCGGGUUGUAAACCCCUUUUAGGAGGGAAGAAAUUGACGGUACCUCCAGAAAAAGGACCGGCCAACUACGUGCCAGCAGCCGCGGUAAUACGUAGGGUCCGAGCGUUAUCCGGAAUCAUUGGGCGUAAAGAGCUCGUAGGCGGUUCAGCAAGUCGGCUGUGAAAGUUCGAGGCUCAACCUCGAAAUUGCAGUCGAUACUGCUGUGACUUGAAUUCGGUAGAGGAGAAUGGAAUUCCCGGUGUAGCGGUGAAAUGCGCAGAUAUCGGGAGGAACACCAGUAGCGAAGGCGGUUCUCUGGACCGAUAUUGACGCUGA
rnacentral:rRNA from 1 species